rnacentral:rRNA from 1 species
CACGUAGGGCGCAAGCGUUGUCCGGAAUUAUUGGGCGUAAAGAGCUCGUAGGCGGUCUGUUGCGUCCGCUGUGAAAACUCGGGGCUUAACCCCGAGCCUGCAGUGGAUACGGGCAGACUAGAGGUAGGUAGGGGAGAAUGGAAUUCCCGGUGUAGCGGUGAAAUGCGCAGAUAUCGGGAGGAACACCGGUGGCGAAGGCGGUUCUUUGGGCCUUACCUGACGCUGAGGAGCGAAAGCGUGGGGAGCGAACAGG